rnacentral:lncRNA from 1 species
UUCAUCACUAUGGCUUAGCGUCUCCAAUAUACACACAUUUUACUUCACCCAUUAGAAGAUACGCAGAUGUCAUUGUUCAUCGGCUUUUGGCUGUGGCUAUUGGGGCUGACUGUACUUAUCCAGAGUUGACAGACAAACACAAGCUUGCAGAUAUAUGUAAAAAUCUAAAUUUCCGGCACAAAAUGGCUCAAUAUGCCCAACGUGCAUCAGUGGCUUUUCAUACCCAGUUAUUCUUCAAAAGCAAAGGAAUAGUAAGUGAAGAAGCCUAUAUUUUAUUUGUAAGAAAGAAUGCCAUUGUGGUAUUAAUUCCAAAGUAUGGUUUAGAAGGGACAGUCUUUUUUGAAGAAAAGGACAAACCAAACCCACAGCUUAUUUAUGAUGAUGAGGUACGAUACCCUCACUUAAAAUAGAAGAUACAGUGUUCCAUGUAUUUGAUAAAGUUAAAGUGAAAAUCAUGUUAGACUCAUCUAAUCUUCAACAUCAGAAGAUCCGAAUGUCCCUGGUAGAACCACAGAUACCAGGAAUAAGCAUUCCUACUGAUACUUCAAACAUGGACCUUAAUGGACCAAAGAAAAAGAAGAUGAAGCUUGGAAAAUAGCUAUAUUCAACAAAAAUCUUCAAAGACUGGUUUCUUUUUUAAAAGAAAAAACUUGAAAGAACACUUCUAAGCCUAAGUGUGUGAUACAGUUUGUUACUUUUAAGUACAUUUUAAUAAUUUCAGACAUCUGCAUUUUUAUUGAACAGUUGACUGUAUCUGACCCAUCAUACUACUAUACUUCUGGGUUGAACAGAAUUAUUUAUGCAGAAUAAUUCAAUUGAAUAUCCAUCACUUAAAUACAGUGACAGGACAGCAACUUCAGGGAUCUGUAAAGAUCAUUUAAAUGGAGUGCUCAUCUCAUUGAGGAGCAGAUUAAUUUUGCGUAAGUACUUUGAUUAUUUAAUAUUUGUAAGAAAAAACUUUCAUUUUCCUACAGAGGAAAAUAGAACAAUUUUAGAAGCAAGGAACAAUCUCUUUUCUAAGUCUUGGAAGCUGUCAGUGUUGAGGAUGUAAUCUCCUUUGCCAUCUUUAAUUCACCUAACUUACACUAGGUGUUCUCUUACUGUCUUUAAAAGCUUCCUGUAUUUUAUUAGUGGUCCUUGAAAAACUGUGAAUGUUUGGGAAUUGGUAGAAAGGCAAAAAGUAGGAUAUUUUGACCUGACUGGAAAGAUGGUUGUGUUUUUAUUGCCAGGUAAUAAGUGUGAUCAUUGUUGAACUUCAGCUCCAGUGUCUCUCCAGAAUAAGACAUUGGCAUUCAAAUGUCUAUAUCUUGUUACUUACAAAAUAAAAAACAGAU